rnacentral:siRNA from 1 species
CUAUUAGCUCAGUUGGUUAGAG